AAAUAGAUACCCUGGUAGUCCACGCCGUAAACGAUGAGUGCUAAGUGUUAGAGGGUUUCCGCCCUUUAGUGCUGCAGCUAACGCAUUAAGCACUCCGCCUGGGGAGUACGGUCGCAAGACUGAAACUCAAAGGAAUUGACGAGGGCCCGCACAAGCGGUGGAGCAUGUGGUUUAAUUCGAAGCAACGCGAAGAACCUUACCAGGUCUUGACAUCCUCUGACAACUCUAGAGAUAGAGCGUUCCCCUUCGGGGGACAGAGUGACAGGUGGUGCAUGGUUGUCGUCAGCUCGUGUCGUGAGAUGUUGGGUUAAGUCCCGCAACGAGCGCAACCCUUGAUCUUAGUUGCCAGCAUUUAGUUGGGCACUCUAAGGUGACUGCCGGUGACAAACCGGAGGAAGGUGGGGAUGACGUCAAAUCAUCAUGCCCCUUAUGACCUGGGCUACACACGUGCUACAAUGGAUGGUACAAAGGGCUGCAAGACCGCGAGGUCAAGCCAAUCCCAUAAAACCAUUCUCAGUUCGGAUUGU
rnacentral:rRNA from 1 species